rnacentral:lncRNA from 1 species
AAAUAUUGUUCAUAGAUAAACUUGAUCAUAAACCCACAAUUCACCGGUCUCAACAAACACACCCCAAAAGAAGAUUACAUCGAAUAGAUCUCCAUGAGAAUCAUGGAGAACUUUGUAUUGAGAUCCAAAAAGAGAGAAGAAGCCAUCGAGCUAAUAACUAUGGACCCGAAGGUCUGAGGUAAACUACUCACACAUCAUCAGAGAGGCUAUGGUGUUGAUGUAGAAGCCCUCCGUGAUCAAUGCCCCCUCCCGCGGAGCUCCGGAAAAGGCCCCAAGAUGGGAUCUCUCGGGUACAGAAGGUUGCGGCGGUGGAAUUAGGUUUUUGGCUCCGUAUCUGGUAGUUUGGGGGUACGUAGGUAUAUAUAGGAGGAAGAAGUACGUCGGUGGAGCAACAUGGGCCCCACGAGGGUGGAGGGCGCGCCCAGGGGGGUAGGCGCGCCCCCUACCUCGUGCACUCCUGAUUGGUUUCUUGACUGUGACACCCUCGAUUCAAUCGUACACUAAUCACGCAAAUGUGUACGAUCAAGAUCAAGGACUCACGGGGAGAUAUCACAACACAACUCUAGACACAAAUUAAAAUAAUACAAGCUUUAUAUUACAAGCCAGGGGCCUCGAGGGCUCGAAUACAUAAGCUCGAAUACACAAGAGUCAGCGGAAGCAACAAUAUCUGAGUACAGACAUGAGUUAGACAAGUUUGCCUUAAGAAGGCUAGCACAACUGCAACAAUGAUCGAAAAGGCAAGGCCUCCUUCCUGGGAGCCUCCUAACUACUCCUGGUCGUCGGCGGUCUCCACAUAGUAGCAGGCAUCGGCGAUAGCAUCUGGCUCCUGGGCUCCGACAUCUGGUUGCAUCAACCGGAAAGAAGAAGAAAUGGGGAAAAGGGGGAGCAAAGCAACCGUGAGUACUCAUCCAAAGUACUCGCAAGCAAGGAUCUACACUACAUAUGCAUCAGUAUCAACAAAAAGGGUUGUAUCUUUGGACUGGACUGCAGAAUGCCAGAAGAGAAGGGGAAAGCCUAGCCUAUCGAAGACUAGCAUCUUCUGGAAUCCACCAUCUUGCAGCAACAUGAGGGAGUAGAGUAGCAUAAAGUAAACUAGUAGAAGUGUUAUCAACCUCGGCCAGAGAUCCUUUCUCGACUCCCUGCGAGAAAGCAAUCCCAGAGCAAUACUAUCCAUUUCUCAUAUCCAUUUCUCAUCUCAAGUAUCCAGUUCUGGUUGUAUCGAUCGAGAUACAACUCCAAGUGUCUGUUGCCGUAGGACAGGCUAUCGAUAGAUGUUUUCUUCCCUGCAGGGGUGCACCAACUUACCCACCACGCUCGAUUAACUCCGGCAGGACACACUUUCCUAGGUCAUGCCCGGCCUCGGCCAAACAAUACGUCGCAACCCGACUUAGGCUUAAUAGAGAGGUCAGCACGCCGGACUAAACCUAUGCCCCCAGGGGUCAUGGGCCAUCUCCCCGGGAACUCCUGCACGUUGCGUACGCGGCCGGUGAGCAGACCUAGCUACCUCCUUUAAAAGGCAGGUGCUUACCAGUCCAACCCGGCGCGCGCCGCUCAGUCGCUGACGUCUAUUAAGCUUCGGCUGAUGCAUACGACGCAAAACGCCCAUACUAUGCCCACGUGAUGGUUAGUGCUAUCAGGCCAGAGGCCCCUCGGAUCAAAUAUCCAAAUCAUAGUGGAUUAGGAGCACGCGGUAACAAGCAGAGACUCACGAAAGAUGUGACCCCGUUGCCCCGUCUCGAGGACUUGCGGCAAGGGCUAGGAAUGCCCGGCCACGCCUCGUAAUUAUCUCACGGGCACCCUCCAGGUCAACCCGUCUCCACAUCACUCGCGGGUACCCCUCAGGGUCGACCCACCUUUCCAAGUAGCAGUGGUAAAGUCCAAGUAUCCGUGUGUCCAAACAUCAAGGGGAAAACCCGAGGAAAUCACCCCCGGUGAAUUCCACUCGAUGUAAUCAUCAAGGUGAACGUAAGAGGAACCACCCCCGAGGUUCACACUUGAGGGGUUGCACGAUAGAGUCGUAUCGGAAGUGGUUAAGGCGGAAUCACCCUCGAUGACCACGACCGAAUAGCUACACUACAGGGUUAACAUCAGAAGUGCUAUAGAGGUCUCACCCUCGGCACUCGAUAGUAACCCAGUAGUGUCGAGCAACUAAGGGGAAAGUGAUGUGCGGUGCCGGGGCCUGGUCUUCGAUCCCGUUGAUCGGGUCUUCAAUGAUGAAGCAGGGGCAACAAGGACAAGGUGGGGGUCACUGAUGGAUCACUAACCAACCUAUACUAAGCAGUUUAGGAUAAGCAGGUAGGUAACAAUAAGCAGGUUACAAAAGCAGGCUAUGCAUCAGAAUAGGAGCAAACAAUAACAAUAGCAAAAUCUAAUGCAAGCAUGAGAGAAUGGAAUGGGCGAUAUCGGGAUGAUCAAAGGGGGGCUUGCCUGGUUGCUUUGGCAAGUAGGGGUCAUCGUCGACGUAGUCGAUCACAGGGGCGGCAUCGGUCUCGAGGUCUACCGGAGAGAAGAGGGGGAAGAAACAGUAAAUACAUAGCAAAUAGAGGUAUCACUAAGCAUGACAUGACGAUACGUAGUGCUAGCCGUGCUCUAACGCGGUACUACAUGUUGCAGACAAAGGGGGAAACAUCCGAGGAUGAUUUCCCAGUGGUAGGCGGAUUUUGGACAGAUGAAAGAGAGGGGACGGUUCCAUGUUCAGCAUGCUAGGUGCAUGUGACAGAUGAACGGACCGCGUAUUCUGAUUCGUUGGAUUUUUCUGAGCAACUUUCAUAUAGAAAACAUUUUCAUCCGAGCCACGAUUAUUUUUCUACAAUUUUUCAAAGAUUUAUUGAUUUUCUGAAAUUGUUUUAAUCCGAAAAUUAUAAUCUUAAGUGCAGUCAACUCAGUCAACUUUUGACUAAUCAACAAGGACAAUGUGGCCCACAUGUCAUUGUCACUGGAACUAACUAGUGUCUAGAUAAAAUUAUGGGGCCACAUGUCAUUGUUUUAUUUAGCAUAAAUUAGUAAACAACUAAACUAGCUAACCUAAUUAGUACUACUACCUAAUUAGUACUACAAAUUAGAGCAUGGCCGGCCACACAUCCAGCCACGGCUGUGUUGCCAUGGUCAACUCGCAUGGGCGCAGAGUCACGGCCAUUAGCAGCAGUAGCAAGCAACAGUCUAGUAGUAGGAUUAAGCAACAUCAGUAGUAAGCCGCAGUACAGGAGCAGCGGCGCAAGCGCAGCUAGCAGCAACAAUGGAGGAGCAGUAGUAGGAAGCGAGAGCAUCAGCGCAGCAAUCAAUAGCAGCAGGCUCGGCAAGACAGCAUCAACAGAAGGCGAGCGCACGCGCACGCGAGUUGGUGUAGCGGGGCGGCAACAGCAGCAGUGGCAGCGCCGCAAGCAGCAGCAGGCAGAGCAGCGCGUGGCCGCGGCGGCACAGGGUAGCAGCAGCUGCGGCCGCAGGCAGGCGCGCGCGAACGGGUGCUGGCAAGGGAAUCCAGGGCGCGCACAGGGUGGCCGGGACUCGAGCCCGGCCACGGCGGCUUACGUUUGGGGGGCAUCUAUUGCGAUGGACUCGCAGGGGAUCAGGGGGAAAUCGACGGGGUGCUCACCGGGGAGGACGCAGGCGAGCUUGAGAGUGGUUGGGGACGGACCGGAGCAGCGAAUCAACGGCGAGGUGCGGCGGCUGUGACGGUGAGGAAGUUGACCGUGGCAUCGUCUUGGGGCCUGCAGGUGCGAAUGGAGUAGUUGGCGAGGACGAGCGCGACGUGACGGAGCUCCUGGUCACACCGGGAAGUUCAGAGGCGGUCGGCGGCCACGGGAUCGACGCGGCGACGGCGUCGACCCCGUCGGGUGCCUCUCCAGAUCGGGGAGGAGAGCGAGGGGGAGAAGGGGGUAGUGGCUAGGGCUUGACCGGGGUCGCGGGGUCAGUCUUGUAGGCAGCCAGGGGGCGUCGACGGCCGGCACGGUUUACCCCCUGCCUCCACUGUAGCGAGAGGAAGGGGAUGCCCCAUGCGGGCUGGGCUGGCCGUACGUGUUGAGUUGAAGCCCAAUAGUGCAAUGCAUCACUAACCUUUUCAUUUUUUUCUAACAAAAUCAUUGUAACACUGUUUGUAUUUUAUUUAAUUUCAAAUGAAUUUUAUUGCACAUGAAACUUGUCACAUAGUUACUUUGAAAAGUUUUGGAUCUACCCACAAAGUUUAGGGGCAUUUUGAAAUCAUCUGGAUUAUGUUUAAAUUUAGAACGCUCUCAUAAGUGGUGUUGAUCCUCUGUUUUAAUUGCUAGGGACAUUUUGGGCAACCAAAAGGAGUUGGCAUUAUUUUUACCAAUACUAGGGGAUUAUUUGGAAAUUUGUAAAUAUUUUUGUUUUGCAUUUUGAAGAAAUAUUAGUUUGACUUUGAUUUAAAACUCGGUUUGUAUCAAAGUGAGGUUUAGCAAUUAAUUGCGAUGACAUGGCACCAUUAGCGUGUGAUUACUGUAGCUGAACUACCGGGGUGUUACAAAUCUCCUCCACUACAAGAAAUCUCGUCCCGAGAUUUAAGAGUGGAGUAAGGGGGGAAAGAGUUGGUUAUGAAAUUCUAACGAGUCUUCACGGUCUUGGUUGCCCUUAUCGAAGAAGUUGAUCCUUUUCUUUGAUGCCUUCAUUUCGCUGCAUCAGGGUAUCUUGAUGAAGUCAUCAUCCUCCCUUCAGGAUCUUCACCGUACUUACGAAAGGAUGAGAGGGGAAAACUCUAUAAGGAAGGGUUUUAACAAGACUGAGCAUCAGACGAUUAACUCAGGGAAGAAGUAUAAAGUGUCUAUCGAGUUGAUUAUAUGAAACACCUUGAGAACAUUAUAGGGGGGUACGAAAGUUUCAAAUGGGUAAGCAAUCGUUCGAUGCCUAAAGUAGAGUGUGAUGGGGGGUUCAGAGCAAUGGAAUAAGUAUUGCGUAUGAUACCAGAAUAGAUCAUCUCUAGGACGGUGGCUCAUGAAUUACAUACGAAGGCAAGUGCAAAGGAUACUUCGGAAUCAAGGAUGUACAGGAGAGUCAGGUUUCGAUCCUGUUGAACUGUGGGUAUGGGCCCACCAUGUGGUUCAAAAGUAGGAAGGACGCUGACAUAUAGCACGGUCAUGGUAGCAAGGCAUGUCAGAGGAUAGCCUGUCAGUUAUGUUGGCAACAACGUUGGUACCAAGGGCGAGGGAUGAAGAGAACCAUUUUCCUGCUCGUUGAAACGAGGCGGACCAAUAGGCAAUGUUCUCGUCCAUCGGCGGUUACCGGAAUGUCAUCAACAAUAGUAACAGGGUCUUACUGACAGAGUUGUACAUCGAGGUGUUUACCUAAGCAACAAAAUAUUACUGCUUAUAUCAUACAGAUCACACAAAAAAAGUUAAACAAAACAAUGGAAAGGAAGAGGUGUAUACACGAGUAUUAGGUGUAUCUCCUUCCCAGGAGCAAGCAGAGCGGGAUAAUCAUGACAGGACUGCAAGUAGUUAACCAACUAGGGAAAAGGGUGGGGAAACUCGUGAUGUUACCCAUACAAUGGUGUGUGGAUAGUUGAUCAAGAAACAUUUAGUAUUGCGCCGCCAAUGUUCUUAUUGAUGAACGGAGUACCAUAGUUGUGCUUCGGGAUAGCAUUGACAUGGUCAUCAGGUAAAGGUCAGUCUUUGGAUACUCAAGGGAUCCAUCGAAUUUUUUUAGAACAUCUCAUGCAAUUUUACCAGGAAAAAGAUGAGGAUGUGGCCGAUGGGUUCAGCAGCAAUCCAUCGACAUGUCAAAAAUGAUGUAUUUCCAAAAUUGUAUGAACUAGUUUGUGUUGGGGGGAGGCAAGAAUGUUUUCGAUGAUAACAUAAAUCAUCAAGGGGCAAGGAUGGUAUUUCUCAUCAUGAAUUCGAUUGAUACCCUGGAAUAGCUCAGACUGUUGAUGAUGAUCACGGCACAUUUGUCGAGAGAUUUCAUGAAGAUGUAAUCGAUCGGCGAUGACAUCAAGUCAAAGAAAUGAUGAGGCGAAAGGUUAUUGAAACCACGAGUACGACACAAAGUCAAAAUCAAACUUGCUGUUCAAGGUGAAAUGAUAUGACGAGAAAGAUCGAUGUAAGCUUAGCUCAUCAUCGAAAAUUAUGCUCCGGGAAGAAGGACCAGGUAGCACAGUUAAAUUUUAGCACGAUAAUGAUAUAGCUAAUCAGGCUAGGAAGAACUUGAAGGAUUAUUAAACUCGUAAGCAACAAAAUUACUUAGAGUUGUUGAAUUCAGAGUGCGGAAUCGAUUCACUCAUUGGUGUUCUUGAGUGACUAAUAACUCAGAACCCGUGGAAUAUUGGAAUCGGCGAGAAAUAAUAGUUGAGGAAGAACUCAUAAGAAGUUAUGUAGUCCCGUGAUAUUCUCGAGAUACCAGAGGGUAAUACUUGAAGGAAGAUCAAAAUAGAGGUUACGGAGAUGCAUCGAUCUGUAGAAGACAAGUGCUUUAACUUGUCUGAGAAAUGGAAUCAGGGAGAAAAUAUGGUCGGAACCACGAUUGCAAAAGACCAGGUCUUAGAUAUAAGAUAGGGGAAUAAUUAAUUUAAGAGAAGCUUCCAUGAUAAGAUCUACAUCGUGUCCAUGGGCAUGAACACAAAGUUCAAGGUCGACUCCCACUUCUUCAAUGUAUAACCUUUCCUUCACUUCUCGUUUUCGAUGAAGUUGUAGUGUUGAAAUUAUAUCUGGCAAAACACCAGAAGAGUAUGACUCGUGAAAACUCUCGGGUUCGCACGGAUUAGGGAAAGCAUAGGUUCAACCCAUAGGGGCAUAUUAGGAACAUAUACCACAAACUUAAAGAGUAAAAAAACACAAGCUCGAAGGUAGAGCAUGGUUGACAAAAGGAGAGGAUACAAUUUACCAAAGGCGUUGUGUAUCAGGGGAAGACUCACAAGGAUUUUAAAUAUGCGGAUCUGCUGGAUAAUAAUCCACCAAAGGAUCUAGCGGACCAUAAAGAAUCAGAAGUGAGUAUCAAUGUUCAACCAGAAGAAGUAAUGCAGGGGCAUCGGAAUAUAGAAGUACAUGGAUAAUUUCAAAGCUUAAAUACAAAGUGAUUGCAAUUUCUAAACUGGGGAUCAAAAGCAGACGCUCUGAUCAUAGAUGGAUAGGUUGAAUGGACUUAGAGGCACAACCGAUCAAUUCUUGAUUGGGCAAGAACCAGCUCAUAACUGGAGCGAUGUCUGAGCCGGAAAGAAAAUUUCUAAGGAUUAAUUGAUGAUUGCGAGUAUUCGCACACAUGUUGAAUCAAUAGGAUCAGAAUGACAAUCACAAAGUAUUUAAAUGAAUAUUCACUAGACAUAUGGGAUUAACCAUAAUGCAAGCAGGCAAGGAGAAUCAAGAGCAAUAGGCUGCAGAGGAUUUUGAAAGAUCGGAUAGCAUUUUCAGGUAUUUUGGAAAGCAUAUGAACAACUGGGGAUGAACGAACCCCGGUUAAGUGAAUUUUCCGCAGUACAAAAGAAGUUGCAAAGCAGAAGGCACAAAGGAUUCUCGAAAUAACGGAGAGUACUAGGGAUAUCUUGUAACAACAGGAACAACUGGGGAAGAAUGUACAAGCGGCAAGGAUGUUAUUCACGGGGAUUAUCGGUGGUCAGGAACUGCAAAGCAGUGGGCACAGGGUCUCAGGAAACAUCGAGGAGUAUCUGCAGAAUCUUCUGGCGAAGCAAGCGAUCAUCUGUAGUGAAGGGGCUCUCUGGGAGGAAGUGGUUACGAGAUCCUAGAGUCAGAGUUAGUAAAAUCUUUAACCCGAAUAGACGAGAGAUCAGAGUCCCAGAGUAUUGACGAGGAAUAAAAAGAUCCUAAUACCACCCAAUGGCGACGUGGGCCCAUAAGUCACACAGCCAAGUUGGUAAAACAGUUUUGGACGACUAGACUUGACUUCGGCCAAGGAGUUGGAAAGGAGGCUACCUACAGGCAGUUGGCUCUGCUACCAACUUGUGACGCCCUCGAUUCAAUCGUACACUAAUCAUACACGCAAAUGUGUAUGAUCAAGAUCAAGGACUCACAGGAAGAUAUCACAACACAACUCUAGACACAAAUUAAAAUAAUACAAGAUUUAUAUUACAAGCCAGGGGCCUCGAGGGCUCGAAUACAUAAGCUCGAAUACACAAGAGUCAGCGGAAGCAACAAUAUCCGAGUACAGACAUGAGUUGGACAAGUUUUCCUUAAGAAGGCUAGCACAAAAGCAACAACGAUCAAAAAGGCAAGGCCUCCUGCAUGGGAGCCUCCUAACUACUCCUGGUCGUCGGCGGUCUCCACGUAGUAGCAGGCAUCGGCGAUAGCAUCUGCCUCCUGGGCUCCGACAUCUGGUUGCAUCAACCGGAAAGAAGAAGAAAUGGGGAAAAGGGGGAGCAAAGCAACCGUGAGUACUCAUCCAAAGUACUCGCAAGCAAGGAUCUACACUACAUAUGCAUCAGUAUCAACAAAAAGGGUUGUAUCUGUGGACUGGACUGCAGAAUGCCAGAAGAGAAGGGGAAAGCCUAGCCUAUCAAACACUAGCAUCUUCUGGAAACCACCAUCUUGCAGCAACAUGAGGGAGUAGAGUAGCAUAAAGUAAAGUAGUAGAAGUGUUAUCAACCUUGGCCAGAGAUCCUUUCUCGACUCCCUGCGAGAAAGCAAUCCCAGAGCCAUACUAUCCAUUUCUCAUAUCAAGUAUCCAGUUCCAGUUGUAUCGAUCGGGAUACAACUCCAAGUGUCUGUUACCGUAGGACAGGCUAUCGAUAGAUGUUUUCUUCCCUGCAGGGGUGCACCAACUUACCCACCACGCUCAAUUAACUCCGGCCGGACACACUUUCCUGGGUCAUGCCCGGCCUCGGCCAAACAAUAUGCCGCAACCCAACCUAGGCUUAAUAGAGAGGUCAGCACGCCGGACUAAACCUAUGCCCCCAGGGGUCAUGGGCCAUCUCCCGGGGAACUCCUGCACGUUGCGUACGCGGCCGGUGAGCAGACCUAGCUACCUCCUUUAAAAAGGCAGGUGCUUACCAGUCCAACCCGGCGCGUGCCGCUCAGUCGCUGAUGUCUAUUAAGCUUCGGCUGAUGCAUACGACGCAGAACGCCCAUACUAUGCCCACGUGAUGUUUAGUGCUAUCAGGCCAGAGGCCCCUCGGAUCAAAUAUCCAAAUCGUAGUGGAUUAGGAGCACGCGGUAACAAGCAGAGACUCACGAAAGAUGUGACCCCGUUGCCCCGUCUCGAGGACUUGCGGCAAGGGCUAGGAAUGCCCGGCCAUGCCUCGUAAUUAUCUCGCGGGCACCCUCCAGGUCAACCCGUCUCCACAUCACUUGCGGGUACCCCUCAGGGUCGACCCGCCUUUCCAAGUAACAGUGGUAAAGUCCAAGUAUCCGUGUGUCCAAACAUCAAGGGGAAAACCCGAGGAAAUCACCCCCGGUGAAUUCCACUCGAUGUAAUCAUCAAGGUGAACGUAAGAGGAACCACCCCCGAGGUUCAUACUUGAGGGGUUGCACGACAGAGUCGUAUCGGAAGUGGUUAAGGUGGAAUCACCCUCGAUGACCACGACCGAAUAGCUACACUAUAGGGUUAACAUCAGAAAUGUUGUAGAUGUCUCACCCACGGCACUCGAUAGUAACCUAGUAGUGUCGAGCAACUAAGGGGAAAGUGAUGUGCGGUGCCGGGGCCUGGUCUUCGAUCCCGGUUAUCGGGUCUUCAAUGAUGAAGCAGGGGCAACAAGGACAAGUGGGGGUCACUGAUGGAUCACUAACCAACCUAUACUAAGCAGUUUAGGAUAAGCAGAUAGGUAACAAUAAGCAGGUUACAAAAGCAGGCUAUGCAUUAGAAUAGGAGCAAACAAUAACAAUAGCAAAAUCUAAUGCAAGCAUGAGAGAAUGGAAUGGGCGAUAUCGGGAUGAUCAAAGGGGGGGCUUUCCUGGUUGCUCUGGCAAGUAGGGGUCGUCGUCGACGUAGUCGAUCACAGGGGCGGCAUCGGACUCGAGGUCUACCGGAGAGAAGAGGGGGAAGAAAUAGUAAAUACAUAGCAAACAGAGGUAUCACUAAGCAUGACAUGACGAUACGUAGUGCUAGGCGUGCUCUAACGCGGUACUACACGUUGCAGACGAAGGGGGAAACAUCCGGGGAUGAUUUCCCGGCGGUAGGCGAAUUUCGGACAGAUGAAAGAGAGGGGACGGUUCCAUGUUCAACAUGCUAGGGGUAUGUGACAGAUGAACGGACCGCGUAUUCUGAUUCGUUGGAUUUUUCUGAGCAACUUUCAUAUAGAAAACAUUUGCAUCCGAGCUAAGAUUAUUUUUCUACGAUUUUUCAAAGAUUUAUUGAUUUUCUGAAAUUUUCUGGAAUUAUUUUAAUCCGAAAAUUAAAAUCUUAAGUGCAGUCAACUCAGUCAAUUUUUGACUAGUCAACAAGUCACUGAAACUAACUAGUGUAUAGAUAAAAUUAUGGGGCCACAUGUCAUUGUUUUAUUUAGCAUAAAUUAGUAAACAACUAAACUAGCUAACCUAAUUAGUACUACUACCUAAUUAGUACUACAAAUUAGAGCAUGGCCGGCCACACAUCCUGCCACGGCUGUGUUGCCAUGGUCAACUCAUAUGGGCGCAGAGUCACGGCCAUUAGCAGCAGUAGCAAGCAACAGUCUAGUAGUAGGAUUAAGCAACAUCAGUAGUAAGCCGCAGUACAGGAGCAGCGGCGCAAGCGCAGCUAGCAGCAACAAUGGAGGAGCAACAGUAGGAAGCAAGAGCAUCAGCGCAGCAAUCAAUAGCAGCAGGCUCGGCAAGACAGCAUCAGCAGUAGGCGAGCGCACGCGCACGCGGGUUGGCGUAGCGGGGCGGCAACAGCAGCAGUGGCAGCGCCGCAAGCAGCAGCAGGCAGAGCGGCGCGUGGCCGCGGCGGCGCAGGGUAGCAGCAGCUGCGGCAGCAGGCGGGCGCGCGGACGGGUGCCGGCAAGGGAGUCCAGGGCGCGCACGGGGUGGCCGGGACUCGAGCCCAGCCACGGCGGCUUACGUUUGGGGGGCAUCUAUCGCGAUGGACUCGCAGGGGAUCAGGGGGGAAAUCGACGGGGUGCUCACCAGGGAGGACGCAGGCGAGCUUGAGAGUGGUUGGGGACGGACCGGAGCAGCGAAUCAACGGCGAGGUGCGGCGGCUGUGACGGUGAGGAAGUUGACCGUGGCAUCGUCUUGGGGCCUGCAGGUGCGAACGGAGUAGUUGGCGAGGACGAGCGCGACGUGACGGAGCUCCUGGUCACACCGGGAAGAUGAGAGGCGGUCGGUGGCCACGGUAUCGACGCGGCGACGGCGUCGACCCCGUCGGGUGCCUCUCCAGAUCGGGGAGGAGAGCGAGGGGGG